rnacentral:rRNA from 1 species
AGAGUUUGAUCAUGGCUCAGAUUGAACGCUGGCGGCAGGCCUAACACAUGCAAGUCGGGCGGUAGAGAGAAGCUUGCUUCUCUUGAGAGCGGCGGACGGGUGAGUAAUGCCUAGGAAUCUGCCUGGUAGUGGGGGAUAACGUUCGGAAACGAACGCUAAUACCGCAUACGUCCUACGGGAGAAAGCAGGGGACCUUCGGGCCUUGCGCUAUCAGAUGAGCCUAGGUCGGAUUAGCUAGUUGGUGAGGUAAUGGCUCACCAAGGCGACGAUCCGUAACUGGUCUGAGAGGAUGAUCAGUCACACUGGAACUGAGACACGGUCCAGACUCCUACGGGAGGCAGCAGUGGGGAAUAUUGGACAAUGGGCGAAAGCCUGAUCCAGCCAUGCCGCGUGUGUGAAGAAGGUCUUCGGAUUGUAAAGCACUUUAAGUUGGGAGGAAGGGCAGUUACCUAAUACGUGAUUGUUUUGACGUUACCGACAGAAUAAGCACCGGCUAACUCUGUGCCAGCAGCCGCGGUAAUACAGAGGGUGCAAGCGUUAAUCGGAAUUACUGGGCGUAAAGCGCGCGUAGGUGGUUUGUUAAGUUGGAUGUGAAAUCCCCGGGCUCAACCUGGGAACUGCAUUCAAAACUGACUGACUAGAGUAUGGUAGAGGGUGGUGGAAUUUCCUGUGUAGCGGUGAAAUGCGUAGAUAUAGGAAGGAACACCAGUGGCGAAGGCGACCACCUGGACUAAUACUGACACUGAGGUGCGAAAGCGUGGGGAGCAAACAGGAUUAGAUACCCUGGUAGUCCACGCCGUAAACGAUGUCAACUAGCCGUUGGAAGCCUUGAGCUUUUAGUGGCGCAGCUAACGCAUUAAGUUGACCGCCUGGGGAGUACGGCCGCAAGGUUAAAACUCAAAUGAAUUGACGG